UAUUCAUUAAAUACAACAUAAACCAGUUCAAUAGGAAAUUAAAUCUGAUUUAUUCACAUUAAGUCUAUUUAAUCGUUUCACUGGAAUUCAUUGGAUCCACCUGAAGCACGCGGGCACACCACUCUUUCAUUCCCGAAUAGACCUCGUGCUGAUGAAUGGACCGAGUUUGGUAUUCUCUCUUUGGAUUUACUUUGUGAAAACCAGGGCAACCUCUUAAUAGUUUGAUGAUGACGACCUAAUUUGAGCUCAGCGUUAUUCUUGUAAUUUAGUGCUCUUCAGAUCACACUAACAGUUGCCUCUGGAUCAAUCUCCUAAUCUACUAAUGUGUA